UACGAAGGGGGCUAGCGUUGUUCGGAAUUACUGGGCGUAAAGCGCGCGCAGGCGGUCUUCCAAGUCAGUGGUGAAAGCCCGGAGCUCAACUCCGGAAUCGCCAUUGAAACUGUGAGACUGGAGUACGAGAGAGGUGAGUGGAAUUCCCAGUGUAGAGGUGAAAUUCGUAGAUAUUGGGAAGAACACCGGUGGCGAAGGCGGCUCACUGGCUCGUAACUGACGCUCAGGCGCGACAGCGUGGGGAUCAAACAGG
rnacentral:rRNA from 1 species